rnacentral:rRNA from 2 species
AACAAAAUGACUCUCGGCAACGGAUAUCUCGGCUCUUGCAUCGAUGAAGAACGUAGCGAAAUGCGAUACUUGGUGUGAAUUGCAGAAUCCCGUGAACCAUCGAGUCUUUGAACGCAAGUUGCGCCCAAAGCCAUUAGGCUGAGGGCACGCCUGCCUGGGUGUCACA